UACGUAGGGUGCGAGCGUUAAUCGGAAUUACUGGGCGUAAAGUGUGCGCAGGCGGCAAAGCAAGUCGAGUGUGAAAGCCCCGGGCUUAACUUGGGAAUUGCGCUCGAAACUACUUUGCUGGAGUGUGGCAGAGGAAGGUGGAAUUCCACGUGUAGCGGUGAAAUGCGUAGAUAUUGGGAGGAACACCAGUGGCGAAGGCGGCUCACUGGACCGGUACUGACGCUGAUGCGCGAAAGCGUGGGGAGCAAACAGG
rnacentral:rRNA from 1 species